rnacentral:rRNA from 1 species
GUCUAUGCUGUCAAAGAUGAAUGCUAACAUUAGGAAAUUUUCUAGUGUAAAGUUAACACGUUAAGCAUUCCGCCUGGGGAGUACGAUCGCAAGAUUGGAACUCAAAGGAAUUGACGGGGGUCUACACAAGUGGUGGAGCAUGUGGUUUAAUGCGAUAAUACACGCGAAAUCUUACCAGUCCUUGCAUAUAGUUUUAGAUAAUAUUAAUAUUAUUAUCGGUUUUAAAAUAAAUUUUUUAUGAUAAGCUAUACAGGUGUUGCAUGGCUGUCGU